rnacentral:ncRNA from 1 species
AGCUGGCUGAUUUUGCUGUUCAGCGGUUUGAUAAACAGGCUGUUGUUAUUGAGCGUGACGCCACCGGAUGCGCGCACAGGUUCACCAUCCAGCGGAAUAUCCAGAUGUAAGCGACCAUUCACUUCACCGCCAAUCUGCAAUUCCUGUAGCGCCGAGCCCAGCGAGUCAUGCAGCGGUGUAUCCAUGAAAUAGUCGCCGAUAUCUUUACCCUGCCCGCGAAGGUCAGCAUCAAUAAACAGCUUUUCUUUCAGAUAAUCAGGAAUAUUGGCAACGACAUUGUUGCCGUCCACGUUGCCCAGUUUGGUGUGCGCGGCCUUCAUAAACAGGCCGUCAUUGAGGAAAUCAAGAUCGAUAUCCAGAUCGGUCAGCGCUGGCCAGCCUGGCUGGAACGCAAAGGUCGAGUGGCGUAGCGGAACC